UUCUUUCUCAAGUCCUCAUCGUCUUCAACCUUGUCAGCUUCAGCCAUAGCAAGCUCAGGAUCAACCUAAGUCGCCAAAAGGACAACUUAUGAAACAAUAGGAUAAAAGCCAUUUCAACAUACUGGAGCAAAAAAAUAACAAUUAGAUUUGGCUAGGUUCCACUGAAGAAGAGAAUAUUAGCCGGGGGUGAUUGUUUCUAUUCCUCUGAGUUGGAGAAACAAGAUAACUAGAAUUCAUAACCACAUCAACAAACAGAUAACCUCGAUCUUAAUUAUCCAACAAGAAGCAUAUGUUCUAAACAAAGAUAGAUCUGAUACAUAAAUAAAUCAAAAAAGGGCAUUGGUAUACAAAUAACGAGAAUAUGAUGUACUAUGAUUGAAGCAAUGAUCUUUAUCCUUCUGCUACAAGUAAAACGAUAUAUAGAUUGGGGCAACAAUAUUUGAAUCACAAAACCAUUAGCCUCAAAUUAUAACCUGUAGGGCAAGAGCAACUGCUUCUUCAUGCAUGGACAUCAUACUGUAUAUAUGAACACAGGCACGCAUUCGCUUUUCCUUGAGGCAAAGGCGUAAAGCAUACUUGGGAUCAUAGAAGAACUCUGGGCCAUUUUCCCGUCCUUUUCCAAACUUGAAUUGUAGGAAACGCAAAAGUGCACUGUCAUCUUCCUGUAAAUUAUUAUGAAAGCAAUGAAAUACACUCAUACAUAUAGUGGAGAGGGAUGAAAAAUAUAUAAACCCAAAGAAAUUCUACAUAUAUAAUUGCAUCUAAAAUAAAACCGAGGGAAAAACAAGAGAUAUGGCUAUAAUUCACUUUUAAAAACUCAACCAAAUUUGAAUUAGUUUUUCCAAAAAUUACGAAUUACAAAGUUUAUAAGUGACAAAUAAAUCAAUUUUUUCCCUUUAUCUGGAUUCAGAUUUUAAAGUUGAAUUGGCUUUUCCUUUUGAACUUGCUUAGGAAAAAAGAGGCAUCAGGUUUUCAUGUAGGAAUAUAUUAUCUAACCACAUACAGACAAUUAUAUAUACAUAAUUAUGUAUGUAUCUAUCAAAACCACUAAACCAUGAUCAUAUUUAAAAUCAUUUGAAAAUUGUUAAUCAAGAAAUCCAACCUGCUUGGCAUAUAGCGAUAAUAGCAAGUUGUGAACUCCAGGAUCCUCGUUAUGCAAACGAUGAACACAGUAUUCCAAAUAUUUGAUGACUUCGUGUGUUUCAUUUCUGAAUUGGAUACACAAAGCAAUAAAUAACAAAAGAAAGAAAAGUAAAACCAUAUGCGUCAUCAACCAACAAUCAGGAAUAGAAAUCCCACGUUUUAUGGAAACUGUUAAUUACUAAUUCAGUAUCAACUAGAAGUUUGUGCCUGACAGAAAGAGAUGUUGCUUCAGUGACCAAAGGAUAAAAUACACAAUGGGAGCCAAAAUUUGUAUCUGCCUAAAAGAAUUGUGCAUGUCAUAUGAGAGGAGGGGUACAGGGAUAAAAACAAGGUAUUGCAAUACAUAAUCCCAACUACUCAAGAUGAACAUACAGAGGGUAUAGUGGAUAUAUGCAAUUAUUAGGGGUAUACUAGAAAUUUCAAGUUUUAUGUCUAAAACCAACAAAGAAAAGUGUAGUGGAUUUAUGCAAUUAUUUAUUUAUUUAUUUUUUAAAAAUUACGAGUUUUUAUGUGCUUCAAGGGAAAAGAAUUGGUAUCCAAAGAGAAUUAGCCAGAUCUUUAUAUCAUAAUUGAAUUUCUAGUCAAGGAUAUUCAUGAGAUAAUACCUUGCAUGUGGUUCACUUGAAUAACGCAUCAUUGCAGGAAUGAGUUUCCUUGGGUUGAGGUUGUUUGUUGCCAUCCAUGACUCUACAGCUUCAUAUGCAUCUAGCAUGAUGAGGUCCGGGGCAAACUUGUACUGCAAGUGAAGAAUUGCAUAAUUCAAUAAAAUAAAAGGCAUGUAUAACAAUAUUAAUACAUAAAAACUUGAGAACAUGUGGAACCUGUUAGGGAACAUGACCUAUACCUGAAGAUCUAUUGGGACAGAAGGUUUUUGAAGCACCUCCAAUGCUUUCUUUGCCUCCCCUUGCUAAUAUGCAUUCAGCCAAAGUAAAUCAUUCAUGACUAGAAGGACAUUUUUUUAAAAUAGAAGUACUAAGAGGUGAUAAUAACAAUCUGAAACCCAAAAAAAAAAAAAAUGGUAAGCACGAAAGCACCUGAAUAUAAUGGUGAACUACAAUUUCAUGCAGUUCCUUCAGACUAGCGAAAAACACCAACUCUUCAACUCGACCAUAACUGCAAGAUGUAGCCAGAGGAUCCUUUGUUAUAGUGAUCUUUCAACUGGAAUAAAAUCUAAAGAGAAAGACCCAUAAAGAUAAGUUGGCCCAAGUCCCUUAUGGUACAUACUUGUUUCACAAUAAUCUCAUUGUAGAUGACAUCAAUAAACAACAUGAUAUAGAAUAUGAGAUUCCACAGCCAUAUAAUAAUUUGAAAAGAAUGGUCAGAAGGUAAACAAUUCAGAGCCGAUUCUGUAACAAUUACCUUUCUAAAAGUCUCAUGGUAGUUGCCUCAUCCAAUACAUCCUUGCAGUCACUAAGAAAUGCACGAAAUUCUUUCAUGAUCGAGUGAUACUCUGAAUUACGAUUAUCUAACGCAGUGUCAUCUUCCAAUAGUAGCCGAUUUAUCUAAAAUAGAAAACAACAUAUAAAUACCUGCUUCCUAAAUUUUGAGGGAAAGUUUCAACAUCUUCAUAAUUCUAUUUAAAUUGUACAUAGAUGAUGAAGUGGGAGAAUUCAAAAGAAAGAUGGCCUCAAAGUUCAUCUAAUGUAGGAUGCAUCAUCUUUAAUCUAUCUCCAUCUUGCCUUUGGAUGUGUUAAAAAGACAAGUAUGUGGCUUUUACAAAGUUAUCUAACAUAAGACAGGAAAGAAAAGGAAAGGUAGUUCUUUAUCCAAGAGCUAAGCAAAGAAAGAAGCAACACCUUAUCCAAGUACAAUUCAGUUGCCCAUGUUGAAAUCAUUGUUAUUUGGCAUUUGUCAUCCUUCGCAAGGCUAUCAAGUUUUCGCAAUAGAAAGGUCCUCAAAGCAUCCUGCAAACAUGCAACGUGAAAUAAAAAAGCCCAUAAAUGUAUGAGUUCAAUACCAAAUCAAAACACACACUAGAUGCGAAGAAUAAUUUUGCAAGUACCUGUUCAUUUACAGUGAUGAACUUCAGAGUGAUCUCCUCGAAUGAUAAUAUAUAAUUAAUCUGCAAGACAAUCCUAUUAUUUAACAAAUGAGCUGUAACAAGUUCAAAUAGUUCCUAAGUUGGAAUAAGAGGGACCUUGAGAACCAGAGAUCAUGGAAAGAUAGAGUGUAUAUAGACAGGGAAAGUUUAUGAAGUAUCUUGUUCUCAGCCAUAAAAUAUAAAUAAAACAACAUAUUAACAGAGCAGUGGCAGGGGGAGGAUUCAUUGUGCUUUUUACAGUGAGGUUAUAUGUUUAACACAAGUCCAAAUUGAAGAACCAUAUUUAAAUCUCAGUUAAACAAAUUAAAUGAUGUAUGCAGGAGAAUAACAUGGGGGCAUCAUAUUACACUAGCGAGACGGGUGUGUUGGUUCAUUUGUACAGAGUUGCUAUGUUUGCAGAAGGGACAACAUGUUUUCAUUUUACUAAUGGUUACUAGUGUACUUAUUCAUAAAAAAGAUCUUGGCUAAUUCUCAGAAUCCGUCAAAUAUGAGAUCUGAAUAAUCAGAGUGUGGUACAAUGGAAAGGGACACACAUUGAAUGUUACUGAUGGUUAAUAAUAUAGCUGUUCAUUGAAAAGAUACUAAUUGGCAAUUUCUUAGGUAUUGCCUUAGAAUAUGAGAAACAUCGAGACAAUACAAAUAUGUGGUACUCUACAUCUUUCAUAGUUUUUUUUUUGUCGAACUGCUUUCAUAGUUAAACAGACAAUAGUAAGGUCAAUGAGUGAAGCAUAAGUGGAAUUUCCUACAUGUCAUCAGGGUGACUGCACAAUUAUAAGACAAUUAGAUUAGAAAGAAAGAAAACAAGAGAUCAAGAAACAACAAACGUCCUGCUGCAUCUAUAGGCAUUAUUGUAAUAAACUUAUUGAAAAAAGAGAGAUCAAGGAAAUAGAGAAUUCACCUUUGCAUAGAAAGAUGCUGCUCUAAGAUAAUCCUUGGAGGCAAAUGCAGCUUCAGCCUGCAAAUCGAAUUACUUUGUUAUUGACUACCCAGGUAAAUACAAGAUUCAGAAAAUAAAUACAUAAGACUGUGAGGCGGUGAGGUUCAUAAUUAUUUAUUUAUUUAUUAAGUUCUAUAACUUGUGAGAAUAAAUUACGAUCAUUGGCAAUAAGUGUAACCAUCAGUUAGAUACCACCUGCACCAAAUAUACUUGGUCCCGCUGAAGUGGGUCACGACAAUUUGCCAGAGCAGCAGCAUACUCUUUCAUGUCCAGGUAGACUUUCCACAUGUCUCGGCCUUCAUCAUUAACAGACACCUACAUUAUGUUCUCAAAUCCAGCAGUACGGAAAAUUUUACUGUCUGAUGCAAACUUAAUUAAAUCCAGAAAAUAUUUAGUCAUCAAAAGAAGCAAACCUGAAAUACAGAGUUUUGAUCAUAUGCAUAGAACAACCCAGCAGUGGCAUCACUGCACAAUCCAAUGACACCCCUUGAAACUGACUCAGGUGUUUGAUCAAACUGAAGUUCCUCAAUAAUUUGCUCACUUAUUCUGUUUACAACCUUCAAAACAUUUACACUCAUAAAACAAGUCUGGAAGCUAAAAGGAGAGGACAAGUGCAGUAUUUAGGCUCUUUUAUGUGAACACUAAAAACCACCUUCUAGGGCACAGCAUAUAGGUUUUUUCAUUUAACCUAAGUUUUAGCACCAGCAGUAGUUCAGAACAUGAUACCCAGUACGAGCACAGAGAUAACAGUACUGAUCACAAGAAAAAAGUCAUUCAGAGAAUUAAUAUAUGCAUACCUUAACCUUAUUCCCGAUAAGAAGCAAGAAAUGAAAUUCUGAAACUGUCAUAGAACUGGGUUUCACCAAUUCAGCACCCUCACUCAAACUUGAAUAGUUCAAAAGAGCCUUGUUCUCCACAAAAUUUUCAUCUCCAUUAGGAGAACUGCCCAAAAGAUUUCCAAAAAUCCAUACUAUGAGAAGGUUUUCAUGUGGACUAUCAUUAGAUAUGUCAAGGAAAGCAAGCCAACCGAAAAACUACGCAGUAGCCAGAAUGAUCAGAAUUUAGACAGACGGUACCAUUAGACAAGGAAGAAAAGAAUGUCAUGUACCUAUGUUGUGCCCCAAAAUUUAAACCACCGUGAUAGAUACCAGCACCAGAAAGCCAUGCAAAAUGUACCGCUCUCCUUUGCUUGAUAUAGAAAUGCAGUUCACUGAAAAAUAGCAAUAAGAACGACAGGAAACAGUACAUCACAAAUUUUUGCAAAUCAUAAAGUGAUAUUUUUUUCUUUUUUUUUUAAUGGACAAUAAUUCAAAGAAAAAAAAUUGUAAGAAAUUUUUGUAUCUCAUCUUGCAAAUAACAUUAUUAGUGUCAACACAAACACUUGCCUGUUCGGUAUUUCACCAGGAAGUUCCAUGAAAUGCACCACAUGAUCUAAGUAACUAGCAAAAACAGUCUGGAAAUGCAGAACAAGUAAGAAUCAGGAAAAACAGGGGACUGUAAGACAAACAAAUAUGUUGUCACUGGAAAUGAUUAACACCAUAUAACAGGAGAAAAAGCAAUGUAAAUUUAACAUGACCAUCUGUUCUAGGCAUAAGAAUACAACAGGAUAAUAGACCUGUGAAACAGUGAAACCCUUAGAUCACCCGUGUACUAACUUUCCUCAGUAUAAAAUCAACAGCAUGCAACUCUACGUCGCCAUCUCUAAACACCAUUUGGCGAGCUACUACAUAUUUAUGUCCUUACUUUAAUACAAUUGUUAUUAUUUUUAUUAUUUUUAUUAUUAUUUUUAUUAUUAUUAUUUUUUUGAAAUAAAAAUCUUACAUCUUUUAUGCUGGUUUUUGUUGCAAAUAGUUGAACCCAGAACUAUGGUACAACCUCCAACCAGUGCAUGAUUGUCGCCAUCUAAUGUAAAUAGUAGCUCACUCCCACUAAAGUAGAAAUUUUUGGAACCGUGCACAUAUGUUUUUGAAAAUUGAAACUAUGAACAUAAUUGACAAUUUCACUAUGCCGAUGUUACCCAAUUUCAAUAAAUCCAACACAAGAAUAGGUGUUAGAGCCAAACUUACUUCCAGCAAUCCAAUACCAGUAAAAGAAUAGAGUCGUGUAGGAGUUACAGCCAUUAUAUAGUAUCUAGUUCCAUUGAGAAUGGUCCCAGUUUCCAUCUGCACACAAAGAAUGAGAUAAAGAUGAUGAUGCAUAGAGUUACAAAUUGGUGCAACUCUGUCAGAAUUAAUUUCCCAUAAGAAAAGGUGAACAAAGAUUACCUGCAAACUCAUAAAAGCCUCUGGAAGUUCUAAUAGUUCAAAAAGAAACUUCACAUAUUUCUCCUUCUUAUCCUUCUCAUCCACAGCCAUUUCAUGAAGUUGGCCAUUGUCUGUACCGAGAAUGACUUCCUUUGUCGAAGCUGUUAUUGAAAAAAAAUCCCAAGCAAUAGCUCAAAUGACUUAAUAUGUACAAUACCUCCAUCCAAAAGGAAUGGAGAAAAAUAGGCAAUGGACUGAUAAAUUACCUUCUGUUAUCUGUUGUCUGUUCCAGGCGACGGCAUUUACAACAAGACCCUUGAGCUUGGUUAAAAUACGAGGCUUGGUCCAUUUUGCAUGAGUAUAGAAAGUAUCAGCACCCCCACUACCAACAACAGUGGCAAUACAGUGGCUCCCUCCAGGAUCAACAAAAACUCUAUGGAUGGAUUGCUCCCCAGGACGACCCGCGGAGAGAUCAAUAUCUAUAGCUCAAAAGAACAGGUAACCAUGAAGCAAUGCUUGAUCUUACAUAGAAUAGAAUGCAAAAUUAAUCAAGUUAACCCAAUCAAAGAAGGGGCUUUAUUGAGUUUUAAAUACCCACCUAGCUCGACUGCUUGACACAAAGAAUUCAGUAACUAAAGCCAAACAUUUUCCUCUGUGCAAUCUUAGAAUCAGUAUAAAUAUCGAACUAAACUGUUCCUAAGCAUUCAUAUCUAGUUGGAAAACAAAGCUCAAAGCUCAAAAGUCAAAAUUCAGCUCGGAAAAGCUUUAUCUCAUCACAUUGGCAUAAGCUCAUAUUCGAAAUCCUGACAUUGGCAGUUACUCAAAGAUUUUCAGCCAAAAAAAAAAACACUAAUUGAAAUUGAAUUUCCAUUUUCUCAUCACGUGGUGUGUGUAAAUCUUCAAGGAAUUGAAUGCCAGAAAAAUGAUAGACAAGAAUUACGCACCAUAUGAAUCGCCGAGGCCAAAAUCGUGUCGAAUGAUCCAACCUUUACUGGUUCCCAACAAAAUGACGUCGUUUCCGGCAGCCAUACAGGUGAUAACUCCGCGCCCCUUGGCGGCAUAUCUUUCUAGAAGAUCCACCGUGAACACCUGCCUACCUGAAUCCAUCUUCGAAUUCAAUUCCAGGAACUUAAUUCGAAAUUCUGUCCAGCAUCCAAAUACCCCCCAACCCACUUGAAGAAGCCGAAAGUUGCCAAGAGUUCGAGUUCCAGAGCAACAGAGCCUCUGCCCAGACCGGUCUAGUGUCUACCUGUAUCCGCUGCCUGACUGGAUUGGUGCCUCCUUAUUCCAGGCUUUUAAUCCUGGCCGUCGAAGACAAUCUCAUGCUUCACACUCUGCCACGUCUGCAAUGUUCAGUUGAUUUUUUUUUUUUUUUCUACUAAUUGACUUUUUUUUUCUUUUUCAUUCUAAAAACUCUUCUGUGAUUUCUAAUCCACAUUUGUCAUAUAAUAGAGGAGCUUUUCUAUAGUAAAAGAAUGGAAGUGGGCUGAGGGUUGGGUUAGAGAGUAUUAGAAGAUAGAACACAAGAUCUCGUAGGCAAGAAAAAGCUUUUAUUCACUUGAGCUACAAGUUCUGUUGUUACUCUUAUCAUGAAUUUCGUUUUCUAUAAAUUUAUUGGGUCACAACCCAUGAGCUGUACCCAGAGUUUCAUGUAUACUAGUUCAACCAACAACAAAAACAAAAACAAAAAACUCGUAUUCUCAAUCAAUUUUUUUUUAUAAUGUUUUUUUAUUUUUUUAUUUGGAAAAGUUAGGAAGUUCAUGAAAUUGUAAACAAUUUGCAAAAUGUAGCCAAAACCUAUAUUCUCCUACCUACUUGACAACGUAAAACAUGUACAAUGCUUCUGAAGUACAGAGAAAAGAGUGUUCGAGAGAGAAAAAAUAAUAUAAGAAAUAGAUGGCCGUUCAGAGUAAAACAGAGCAAUAAGCGUAAUAAUAAAUAAAAGGUCAAAAAACAAAUCUGUCCAAAAAUAACGAAAAAGAAAACUUUAAAUCAAAUCGGAGCGUCUAUAGGAGCCGUUUAGCAUCCAGCGGCUACGAUUACACGGAGCCUCAAAAUGACCCCAACGUCUUAAUUUCUUCCCAACGGUCAAAAAUCUCAAAAUACAAGAAUUUCUUCUAAAUCAAGAUCUCCCCCUCUCUAUCUCUCUCUCAUCCAAGAAUCACAGAGAAUCAGAACAUAUACAUACAAUACAGAAACCAAGGUAAAGAACCAACCCAUCGUCGAUUAUCUUUGUCUAAAAUUGUUGGUACCCAGUGAGCGAAAAUGAGUGUUUUUCAAUACCCAGAUGCCAUUAACGCACAGGACCUUCAAGUGUGGAACAACGCCGCCUUCGACAACGAAGACUCUGAAGGCUCCUCCGCCAUCAAAGCUUCUUGGUCUGAUCUACUACAACCCCUCUUGCUGAAUCGGUCUUCCGAGUCGUUUGAAUCCGAUUGCAGCAAAGAGAAUCUGAGCCCCGCGAUUCUGAAAACCCCUGCUUGCGUCAAAUCUUCAGUACCCUUUAAGCCGCUGAACACAAAUACUAAUAUUGAGCCAUUCUCGGUGGUCGCAAAGAAAAAGGGUCUUGAGGAGGUUGAAGAAAGAGAAGAGAAAGUUCGAGAUGAGGGGAAGAUUGAUAUGGAGAUUGAAGCAAUUGAGAAGGAGAUAAGUCGAUUGUCUUCGAGGCUCGAAGCGCUUAAACUCGAAAAGGCUGAGAGGAACGAGAAGACAGUAGAAAAGCGUGGAAGGGUUGUGGCGGCGAAGUUCAUGGAGCCGAAACAGAGUGUUAAGAAUUUAGAGGGGCUAAAAAAGAUCGAGUCUUUAAUGUUAAGAGCGACACCAAAGAGUAAUAGGAGAGGAAUGAGUCUGGGACCCUCGGAGAUUAUAGCUGGAGCCGGAUUUCGGAGGCCUAGUAAGCUUGAAAUAACCCCUGUUCAGGCAACACAGAGUCGCCGGAAAUCUUGCUUUUGGAAGCUUCAGGACAUUGAUGAAUUGAGGGUUACAAAAGAGAGGGGCAAGAGUUUGAGUUUGAGCCCGAAAUCGCGUAAAACUGUGUCCAAGGUUCAAGUUCCUAAACAGGCUGCAACUACUGUUGGAGGGUCGAAAAGGCCUGUGAAGAAGGAAGACAAGGUUCUUGCAUCAAUUGAACCCAAGAAGCUUUUUAAAGAUGGAGGUGAGAAGUCUAUGGCUGCAAAGAAAACACCAUUCAAGGCUGGGAGGGUUGUGGCAAGCAGGUACAAUCAGAUUGGUAAUUCGGCAGUGAGUGAUGGCCGGAAGAGGUCUUGGCCUGAGGAUGAUAAGGAUGAUGGUAAGAGGUGUGAUAAGAGGCGGGUGUCCUUGGUAGGAAAGCCACGUGGCAUUGGCCGGGAGACAUCAAGGAGCCAAGGGCCGGAGAGCCGGGUGAAGAAGAGGUGGGACAUUCCAAGUGAGAUAGUGGUGUACCAAGGUGUACAGCAGGAGGAUAAGUCACCUUGCAAUGUUGCUGAGAUGGGUGAUGUGCUUCCGAAGAUUAGGACUGUCCGAUGUGGGAAUGAUACUCCAAGGGGUUCAGGGCCAGCCAAAAGAGUAGCUGAAUUGGCUGGGAUGAAGCCCUACUUUAGCACCAAGGAGGAGUUUUGCCAGGAAUUGAGUUUUGCAGAAGAAGCUGCUGAGGAAGAAUAAGUGGAAUAAUGGAGGAACUUACCUCCACUGAAUUGGUUAACUUUUGUUCUGAAGUUUAGCUUGAUUUUGGUGAGCCAUAACUCUUGUUAUGGAGUAAGUAUGCUUUCUAUUUCUGUCAAUGGGUUUGCAAGUCUGUAGUUUCUCUGCUGUGCAAUAAUAGAUGAAGCUAUUUUCCUUGCUUUCCUUGCAAGAUGUAUUUGUUUCAGCCUUGACAAUCUGAGUAGUAGUAAUCAGUAUGAAACAUUUUAAGAUUUCCUCUUGGGGAUGUUUUCUUGUUGGAUUGCACUCCCUUGUCUGCUAAUAACAACAAACCUGUUCUUUUGGGUUUUCAACAACAUUUGACAUUACCAUAAUUUGACAUCCUAGCAUAUAUGAUUGUUUGGGCCUAAAUUCGACACACCAAAGAGAUCCAGAAACAGGCCCGUGGUGAAAUACUUAUCCAGUCCCAAAAAGACCCAAAGCUGUCAUAUUGGGCCUUUGAAAAUCAGCCCACAAAAUAUUGUUUAAACUCAAGCCCAAGAGACUAAAGACACAUUCACGUGGCUACCUCACCUCUCUGGAAAGUCAGCAAAUCCAACUAGAGUUUUUAUGUGAGAAGGGACGUUUCUGAAAACACUGCCGAGAAAGAAAAAUCAAAGGGGCGUCUAUGAUCAGAGACUUUUUGCUCCAAAGCAACACACCGUCUUCUAAAAAGAUUUCGCAAAUCACGUUUUCAAGAGCAAGAGACAGGGAGUUGUUCAGAAAAUACAAAAGAAAAAUCAAAACCGCCAUAGGAUCAGCUCACACAGACGGUGGCAUUAAAAUAAAAAAAAACCGUCAGCCAGGAAACCAGGGAAGGGAUCGCUAUAGGAAAUGACCACUGGGAGUCUAUCUGCCAUAAUUGAUAAAAAUCUUUCCUGCUUUACGUUUUUUGAGAAAUCUUUUGCCGCCCAUUAUUAAAAUUUAAAACCACCUUCAAAAGGAGGGUCUCUUAUAAAAACAGAAACAGGCAAGAAAGAAAAGGGACAUUCUUUUCAUCAAUCAAUCAAAAAAUACAAACAGGAAAACAACUCUAGAUCAGAAUUCCAAAGUUCAGACUUAGAAAAUAAGUCCUCUGAAAGCGAGAUCCCUCUCGUUACAAAUUUGGUUCAGCAAAAGCCAAAACAAACACAGCUUGAGUUUUCACAAAUAUGAAAACCUCAACAAAUUUUAUAGCAUAGUUCCAGCUUGUUAAAUCCUCGAGAAUAGCCACUUCUGUCCUUUCAAACUGAAGAAGUCGCAGUUCUGCCCGCUCGAAAAGUCUCCCAAGGCUUGAAGUAGAUUAAAGCUCUGCCAAAAUUGAACUUUGGUAUCGAUUUACAACUGAAGCCAAGCAGCUAAAGUUGUUGACAGUACAGUCCAGCAUAGACAUACCCAGUCCAGCCCGGAUCAGAAGUUUCUACCCAGGCAGAAAUGAGAUUCCAGCCAUCUUUUUGCCUUUCUAGAGUUGAUUUCUCCAUUCUUAAUUUUGUAAAAGGCAGUUCUGCCUGAAACAGUACUUUAUUAUUAUCUAUUCUGGCCAGAACAACCAUCUUGAUACUGAGAUAAAUUGUGAAAGUCCUCACCAGUCUGAGGCAAGAAAAGAACUUACUUGGGAGAUAUUCCUCACCCAAAUUCACAAUCGUUUGUUUUAGAAGUCAGUAACUUGAGGCGCAGGUUAUCCACUCUAAAAAUGAGUCUGCUAGAAUUUACAUUGCUAGCAGUGGCACGCUCGCACACCAAAGAAAGCUGACUUGUUGACCAACAAGUGGUCUCCAAGCUAGUGGGGAACUUCGCCCUUCCAUAUCAGGAGUUAAACACGAAAACGGGUGAACAAUGAUAGAGCAAGAAGCAUGAGCUGAUUCUGUGCCUUGCCUAUGUGAAACAAUGUCUUAAUGAUAAGCAUCACAUUGCAAAUGACCACAGAAAGUGAAUGGCAGAUUUCAAGAACCAUACAACUAUAUCAAAUGGCAAUACCAAGAGACCUCCAAAGUCCAAAACCAAAACAAAUAUCUGCUUCUAACUACUUAUAAGCGUUUAUUUCGUUUGAAAUCCGUAGGACCAGCAAACUCUGUAUCACAUGAAUUCAUCUCCUCCAUCAACUUCAAUGCCAAGUCCACCUUCCCCAUCUUCUUCAGGUUACUGAUCAGUGACCGGUAAACAUACACCGAAGGACGAAUCCGCCUCACCUUCAUCUCACUGAAGAGUCUCAGUGACUCAUCAACAUUUCCUGAUCGGCCCAGGCUCUCAAUCAUUGCUGUAUAAGUCAGCAAAUCUGGCUGAACUCCAUUUUCACCCAUUUCCCCGAAAUAGAACAAGCAAAUAUCGAAUUUCCCAAGCUUCCUCAAAUUGUUCAACACAGCAUUGUAAGAAACCACAUCUGGGUCAAUACCAGCUUCUUUCAUGGACCCAAACUGACCCAGCAUGUCAUCAAUGCGACCUGCACAACCCAAGAUCUCCAAAAUGGUGUUGUGGGUGUACAAAUCUGGUACAAAAUUCAAAGCUUUCAUCUGGGCAAAGAUCAGAAGCGCUUUAUCAAUCUCUCCACAUUCACCAAAGGCAAAGAGAACCCUGUUAAUGAUGGUCAUAUUGGGAGAGGUAAUCUCCAUGACUUGCUUUGUUAGUCUGAGCAACUCCCCACAAUCAUCUGACUUUGCAAAAGCCUUGGCGACAGUGAGAAAACAAGUCGAGUUCAAGGGUUGACGACGAGACGCGACUGCAACGUGAACAAGUUGGGAUACAAGGGAAAGAUCGUUCCUUUCGCUGGCUGCUGCAACCAGCACACGAUUAAACGCUUUGGAGCUCAGGAAGACGCGUUUUUUGUAUGACGAUUCGAGUAAUGGAGCGGCGUUUUCUAAAUCGGAAAGAAUUUGAUUCACUAUAGCGUCUUCUUCUGAGAAAGAAGAGGCCCGAGAGUUGCUGAUGAAGCUACUUAUAGUGGAAAACAAUGGCUUAUCAAGUGGGGUGGAUAAUGGCAUACGCUUGUGAAUCGGGUACCGAUUUGGAGCCGAGUUGGGGCCGAAAUUGCUAGCGCAUAGGUCUGAUGCUGCUGCUAUGUAGCAUCGCAAACGCCUUGAAGAAGCAGAUAGCAUGCUGUGGAAAUUCAGAGGGUUUUUCGGAUUUGCGGGUAAGGUGUUCGACGAAUUGCCCAAACUUCGGUCACAGGACUUGGGAGCCGAUUCACUGAGGCGCGGCCUCGCGGGGUUUUGAAUAUAAGGGUUCAAACACAGGUGCACACAAAGGUGUUUACGAAUAUAUAUAUUUUUUAAAUUUUGGUGUAUUUCACAAUUUUCCCUUGUAAGUAAAAAAUCGCCUUAUUUCAUUAUAUGACUAAUUUGUAUAAAUUUAGGGGAACAUAGUUGCCUUCUUUGACCAAAAAUAGAAGAUGUUUGUGUCUUGUAAAGGAGCUGUAAAAGUUACUUAAAUAUGUCGACGGGGUCUUAGCUUAGUAGAAAAGUGUCUUGACUUGCAGACGAGAGGUCUCAGGUUUGAACUCCCAUAGCAUCAAUUGUUUGUGUGUGAGAAACCUCCUCCCCUCUAGUUUAUACAAUGGCAAAUUACUUAAAUCUAACUCUGAAAGAAAUUAGAAAAGCAAAUCAGAAUUAAACCUGAGUGAGGAGACUGUGUUGGGAUGAAUAUUAUGUUUGCACAACCCCAAAGGGUAAAAACAAAACAGACAACCGCUAGCUGAAAUGCUGAAUACAAACAAGCGAGUUAUUUGCAUUUAUGCAGUACAAAAACAUCAUAAUCUCAAUCGCAGUACAAGUUUGACACUGAUAAAGAAAUGGAACCAAUGCUCCGCCUAAUAUUGGAGUGGUGGAAACAGAGUUCUAGUGUGACUUAGGCUUCCGUCUGGUCUCAAAGGCGACUUGAGUCUCUUCCGAAUACAAAUCGCCUUCCCCAAUCAGAUACCACCAGCACCCUUGUGCGCCAACUGACUAACUUGCUGCAAAUAUAGGGAGAAUGUUCAGACAAUGGUGAUAUGAAUAUGACCGGUUCAAGCGAAUCUUUACCAUAAAUUUACCUAGCAUAUACUGAGUACCAAAGCCACUGGGUGCUGUGACCAAUUGAGACCCAAUCUCCUGGAAGAUGAGCUGCCGUUUGUUCUCCUCCCAGAGGAGCAAACAUCCCAAAAUGCUUAUACCUUGGGUUAAAUCAUAUAAAAAUUUAUCUUCUAGCAUUUAUACUAAGAUCAUGGAUCAGGAUGUCUUGCACCAUUGACCACAUAUAACAGCUUAUAUCAUGUUAAAUUUGUGUUUCUAUGCUAGAUAAGAUAUUUGACUAGAGAUUGGCAACAAAGUUUCACCUGAAGGGUUGAAAACAGUGGCGUCCAACGCCCCUAAACCUGAGGGGACCUUCAGGGUACUUCUCACACUCCUCCAUACGGUUGAAACAGUUGGCAAGGUAGGCACCUUGUUGAGCAGCUACCUAGAAUAUUACAAUUUGGAAAGGGGGGAAAAAAGGACAAGUUAAUAAAGUGAUAGGAUGCCUGAGUUAGAGGUUCUGAGAAUCUUCUGUUAAUUAGUUCACCUGAGCUGUUGCAGGAAGAUUUUUCAUCUGAGAAUCUGCUUGUGAUAGAGCGGACUUAAACGUUUCAAUAUCGACUUCAGCGGUCGGAUUUUGCCAACUCUUUUCCAGUAAUUCAUCAAUAUUCCUCAUCUGUUUGCUCUUCAAGUGAAGUUCCAACUGAGGAUACCUUUCCACAAGGUCAUCCAUGAUUUCUUGAAAUUCCUCAAGGUUUAAAGUACCAGACUUGUCUGUGUCUGCCGUUCUGAAUAUCUCUACAAUAUCUUCCUGACAACAGAUUGCCAUGCAAUGGUAACAAGUUUCAUAUAGCUAAUGAAUGAUUGCUCAACAAGUGCUCUAUAAUGCAUAUAAAAAUACACAGGUAGCUUGUCAAUAAAUAUAUAUACCAUGACCCUGCGUUGAUUUAUUGUUGCACAAUCACCUAAAGCAUAUACACCAUCACAUCCUUCCACCCUCAGCCAUUCAUCAGUAGCCAAAACACGCCUGUUACUCUGUUGUGCUCAAACAAAUACAACGCUGAUUAAUUGAAGUUUCAAGCCCAAAGUCAAGCUCCAUAUGAUUGGAAAUAAGCACAAAUUAGCAACAAACCUGACCAAUCUGCUUCAUAAAAUCAAUAACCUCCGGGCGAGGCCCAAUACCAGUUGCCCAGAGAACCAUCCCAUAAGGUAGAUGUGAAACUUUGCCUGUUGCUCUUUCUUUGGUGGAGAGUUCCUUAUCAGUUACUUUUACAACCAUUGAACCUGUUUUUACAUCAAUGCCAUCUCUGGAGAACUUUUGUUCAGCAAAUGCAGUAAUUCUCUUGUCAAACCUGUAAGACCAAACCAAAUGCAACCAUUAACUUGCCAUAUUUACCAAGAUUAAUCCACCAUCAUCAUUUAAAUCCUAAUAUAGAAGCAUUCAUGGCCUCACAUGUUCAAAAUAUGAUCGCUUGCCUCAAUAACGGUAAUUUGUACGCGGUCUAUAACUGAAGGGUAUAACUUGGCUAAAUCCUCUUUAACAAAGUCAUGAAGCUCUGCAGCAAAUUCCACACCAGCUGGACCACCACCAACGCAUACAAAAUGCAAAAUGUUCUUUCUUUCUUCUUCGCUUACACAAGGAAGACUUGCCCUUUCGAAACAGUUAAUCACAGACUGACGGAUCUUCAUAGCAUCUUCUAUUCCCUACAAAUUAGAAGUUAAAACCCAACAACAUAAAAAUGAAUUUUAUUUCUUCAUCUUUUGAAAGUAGAGUGCUUUAAGUCAAAGAUUUAAUUAAAUGUGCAUUUGCUCCAUACCAUACUUUUCAACAAGGGAAGAAUUAAAAAUAAAGAUACCUUCAAGAAAUGAGCAUAUUGCUCCACACCAGGGGUGUUAAAUGUAUUUGAUUGAGCUCCCAUGGCAAUGAUCAGGUAGUCAUAAUCUACACUAAAUUCACCGUGUUUUCCACCCAGAUUUGUGUCUUGAGUUGAUCGACAGUAAACUUUCUUUUUUUUGGGAUCGAUUUUAUGACAUACUGCUUCCCUAAAUUGAACUUCUAAACCUUUCUGCCACAUCAACAAAUGAAAAGAAAUUAAGCCUUAUUGUCUAAGUAUCUCCAUCAAUCAAUAAUCAUACCAUAUCAAUUAGGCUUUUAUCGCAUACUAACCUUCUUAGUAAUGCAUCGAAUUGGUUCAACGAUGCUGCGUGCUUCCACUGUGCCACAGGUAACACUUGGUAGCAAAGGAGUAAACAAGAAAUAAUUUUUGGGUGACACCACUUCAACAUCAUAAUUAGAACUCUUCAAAUUUUUCAAGAAACUGACUCCAGCCCAACCAGUUCCAAGCACGACCACCUUUUUUUUCUUGGCUAUUUGGUCUUCCUGAACUGAAUCAGCAUAUACAGUGUGUACUGGUGUGGUUUCAUGAAAUGCCGCUAGACCUCCCCCACUGCAAUAUAUACAAUGCAAGUCAGACAAGGAAGAAUUAAGAUAUGCAGAGAUUCAUAUACAAUACGGACAUGAAUCAACCAUACAUAUGCAUGCAUAAUAUGUGCAUGUUCAUAUAUAAUCAGCACAAACACAUAACACUAGAACCGCUAAUGAAAACGACAAUAAACCGAAAAAAGAGAACAAAAAAAGAAACCUGACUGUUCGAAAGAUAAACCAAAACUACUGAAAGCUCAUAUAAGACGCAUGUUAAAAAGAAAUGAAAGACCUGACUGUGACAACAACAAGAAGCUUAGACACAGAUGGGUGUUUACGAAGGAGCCUUGAGGCACUUUCAUAGAAAGAGUGUCCCCACAUUGUGAAACCCAGUUUCUGAUUCUGAUUCUUUCUCGAAAAGAAAAGGAAGAAAAGUGUAAUGCCGGAAUAUAUAUGAUUUUGGAUUGAGACAGUGAUCUGGUUGCCAAAUAUUGAGGUGACAAUUUCUAAUGGAAGGGUAUGUGAGUGGGGUUAUUACUUCAAAUCAGGGCCCGAAGCCUAAGGUGCAAUUGUCACGUAAAAAAGGGCACUCUAUCCUUUUGGGUCCGAGGUUGACUUAGUCAGACCAGAAAAAGUAGGACACGUGUGCUUUGUCUAAAAGUCCAAGACAGGGAGACAUGGUUGUAAAUUAAGUUGUAGCCUAUGAUAUUGUUUGGAUGUUGUGGUUAAUAAUCAAAAUUCCGGUUUUUAAUUCUCUGAAAAUUAUCUCAUGCAUGUCAAGAAGUUAAACGCAAUGUCUCCAAACUCACAUGGGCUCCCACUUCUUCACACAUUCAGAAGAAUUGAUAGAAACAACAUAUUUACUGCGGUAAGUAAAAUUCGAUGUUUUGGCCAUGAAUGAAUCACAUCACAAGGAAUUUUUUCUACAGCCUACAAAGGAAUUUCUCUCUGAAUUUACAUAUGAAGCAGAUGCAAACACUCAUAAUUUACUGGUGAAAGAAAUAUGCUGGCCCCCUUCAAAUGCGGCUUGAAUCUCUCCCGAAAAUAAAUCUCCGGGUCCAAUCAGAUACCACAAGGACCCUAGUCCGCCAGCUCACUUGCUUGCUGAAUAAGGAAAACAUUGAAUCGAAUCAGAUUCAAUCUUGCAGAUAGUAUGUUAUAACUCUUGUUUACCAGAAGCAAGCAAAUUAAGAUCACCUUGCAUAUACGGAAUACCAGAGCCACUGAGUGCUAUGGCCAAUGGAAACCCAGUCUCCAGGUAACUCUGCGGCUGCUUCCUCUCCCCCCAACGGAGCGAAUUGCCCGAAAUGCUUGUACCUAGUGAUUCACAAGUUACAAGCAACUCAUUGGUUAGGAAAGGAAAAAUAAAGAAAAUGGCAUAUGCAGAAUCAACUGGACAGUAUAUAUUGUGUGUCAAGUCAAAGUGAGAUUUUGCUAGUAAUUUAGAAUGACAAAUAAAAAGGCAGUUAUGGAACUUGUUGAAAUUUUCAUUCCCAUUUUUAAACAAUAAAGGGUGCAAGUGAGACGAGCCUAAAGUAUAUUGCAUACCGGAAGGGGCGAAAGUCAUGAUGCCCAGAACUUUUAAAACGUCUAGGACCUUCAGGAUUCUCUUUGCGCUGCUCUCUCUGGUUAAAGCACCUAGAAAGAUAUGCUCCCUGCUGAGCAGCAACCUGAAUGCCAAAAGAGUGUAGAAACUGAGCGUCCCUUUCUUACAGUUGGACGACAUGAAAUCAUACCUCAUAACUAAAAGUAACAAGUUUACUCCAACUACAAGAUAAAAGACAUAUACCUGUGCAGUUGCAGGCAGACUCUUCAUCUGUGAAUCCACUUGAGCAAGGGCUAAUUUAAAUUCUUCAACGUUCACUUCCGUCCUAUCAUUACCCUCAGGAUCUUUCAAUAGGUCCUUCAAAUCCUGCACAUGCUGGCUCCUUAAAUAGAGCUCCAUUUGGGGGUACCUUAUGAUGAUGUCGUCAAUUACAUCUUGAAAUUCACCAACUGUUAAGGUACCAGAGUUAUCUUUGUCCGCAGCUUUAAAUAUGGCAGAGAUAUCUUCCUAAAGGUGACAAGACGGAUACCAGUUUUAGCAAUAAUGUGUGAAAAACUACUUCGAAUAUAAGAAACAAACACUAAAUAUACAAUAUAUUUUGACUUCAAGAAGCUGCUCCAUCAUACUACACCAUAAUAAAUCUAGGCUUCCAGCACUUACGGAAAUUCUAAUGAUGAAUAUAAAAGAGGUAAAGGUUUUGCAUACCAUGAUUUUACGUUGAGUAAUUGAAGCACAAUCGCCAAUGGCAUACACAUCUUCACAACCCUUUACACGCAGCCAUUCAUCAGUCACUAGAAUACGUUUAUCAGCCUGCAGAUGGAGCAGAAUAUAAAUUAUAAUUUGACUGAGCAUGUCACCCAUGUAGCAUCCAUAUUAGUCCAAGCAGAGUGUGAAAACCAUCAAUCCGACAAGACCAGUUGAUUAUAAUGUAAAUUCUAUAUUUCUCAGGCUUUGGAUGGCAUAAAAAUUAUGAAACAAACCUGCCCAAUUUGUUUCAUAAAGUCACUCACAACUGGACGAGUCCCAAUACCAGUAGACCACACAACCAACCCAUGUGGCACAGAGCAGACCUCACCCUUGGGUUUCACCUUCAUUGUGAUUUCCUUAUCAGAAACACUGACAACCCGACAUCCUGUCUGAACAUCAAUACCAUCUCUUUUAAACUUCUGCUCAGCAAACGAACUAAUUCUGUCAUCAAACCUACAGAGAGAGGAUACGAAAUUUUAAUGAGUUCCUUGAAGUGAACUUGCCUAUUCACUUUUUGAAAUAAGAAAAGUUUCAAAUCAUGGAAGGUGAGCUUCCGUGAUUGGUAUAAGUUCAUUGGUCCCAUACUUCAAUAUGACAGAAACAAGUUGCUGAAACUUCACAUAAAUGAAGUGUGGAAUCAAGCUAAAAUGGGUUUAUCAUUCAAAUGAUUCCAAAAAGCGAUCAAUAAGAUAAAACAUGAUGCAUCUUUCUUACAUGUUCAAGAUGUGAUCUCCCGAUUGGAUCACUGUUAUUUUCACAAGAUCCUUAACCAUAGGAUAUAACUUGACUAAAUCCUCUUGGAAAUAAUCAUGCAGCUCUGCAGCAAAUUCCACACCAGUAGGACCCCCUCCAACAACUACAAAAUGAAGAUUUCUCCUCCGCUCCUCUUCACUUAGACCUGGAAGUACAGCCAUUUCAAAGCAAUCUAUCACACUCGUACGUAUCUUUUGAGCAUCUUCUACUUCCUGCAUGUGAAGUCAAAUAUGCUUCAUUAGAAAAUUUCCUAUCACCACCUUAUGAAAGAAGACUAAGAGCAACUUGGUUUUCUUGACAGACUUCAAGAUACACAAGUUCAUUUAAGAAAAUUGAAGAAGCAACCUAAUUUAAAGCAUAAAUAUGAUUAAAUGCUGCUUUGCUCCACUUGCAUGAAAAUAAACUCACUUGCCUUCAGAAAAUGACAGUUCUCCUUUACACCAGGAGUGUUAAAAGUGUUUACUUGUGCUCCUAUAGCUAUGACCAAGUAGUCAUAUUCAAGGGAAAAUUCAUCAUUUCCCACCAAGUUGGUGCCAAAAUUAGCCCGCAAGAUAACACUUUUAUUUGUAGCAUCAAUCUUGACACAUUCUGCCUCGCAAAAUUUGAUCUCUCCAUUUCUCUGCCAUGACAUAGAAGUAACUUGUGAACAUUAAUUUCUGGCUUACAGUUUGGAACUUGUGAACAUAAUGCCAACGAAUUCCUGCAACAUAUACUAAGAUACAUUUGUACGUGAUCAAUCUUUCCAUACAACUAAUAUAUAAACACAUAAAGAAUUCCUGCAACUUUUGAAUAUGUUGCUUACCUUCUUUAUAAUUUUUCGAACUGGUUCUACUAUGCUUCGGGCUUCAACCGUCCCACAUGUGACACUAGGUAACAAAGGGGUAAACGCGAAAUAAUUCCGGGGUGAAACAACCUGAACAUCAUAAGCUGAAGCAUCAAGAUACUUGAGGAAACUAGUACCAGCCCAUCCUGUCCCAAGCACCACCACUCUCUUCUUCCUGGACUCACCUGGUUUAUCAUCAACAACACUAGGAGAGCCAACGUUUGACUGUGAUUCUGCAUACGCCAGGAGACCUCCACUACUGCAAUCAUCCAAAAAAUAAACCAAACAGAAAAUGUGAUCAACACUUUGUCUAUAUUUGCUUGUCUAUUACAUUGAGGCAAGAAAAGCUACUGUCUACUUUCAAAAAAGUUUAUUUUGGUGUUAACUAGGAAAAAAAAAAAAGUAACAGUUCAAAAACAAAUAAAAAAGUUAAAGUAAUAAACUAGUGCACCUCUUCAAUUAGCCCUUUUAUUAGUAGAUCUAUAUCACGUUACUUGGAAUAUGUACAUUCAGUGUAAUCCUAGCCUACAGACUAAGCAAGCAAAGGAAUAACAUGAGGGGUACGGGUUCUUUGCCACAGUGAAAGAAUAAGUUAAACAUUUACAAUUAAUAUAUUUUCUCUAAUUCCGUUUUCUCAGUGACCAAACAAGGGCUAAGUCUCUGGUGUGUGGCUAAGAAAACUGAGGUUCAUAGAAAAAUUUGGAUUCAGAGUUUAUGGAUUAUGCCAUUUUGCUUUCAUGGGAAAUAGAAAAAAUGAUACUUGAACUAAGUCAAAUACAACCAAAACUUAAAAAAGAAUGUCAUUAUAUCCUAGGGAAGAAAAAAAAUUGAAAUUCAAGCUUGCCAUCUCAUUUUCUAGUCCUACAUUUUUCUCAGAAGCCAAACAGAUCGAAACAAGAAAGGAAAAGUUAACAUGGGUAAACAAGAAUUGAGGAGGAAAACGAAUCACUGAAACAGGGGAAAGUAGAGAACUGAGAACCUGAGCGUACAGAGCACCAGAAGCUUGGAGGCAACAGGGUGGCCAUUGAAAGCUCUUGAAGCUCUGGUGAAGAAGGACGAGAUCGUCAUAAGUUGACCAGAAUUGAGAGGCUGAUCAAAGAAGACAGUGAGUAACUGAAGAGUAGAGAGAGGAGAAAGAGGAGCUGCUAUAUUAGUCAUUACUCAAUGGACACGUGGCCCUUGUUGGGGAUGAGUUGGAUCCUCCGACAGUAACAUGAUUUUUUUUUUUUUGGUCGAUAGACAAGAUGUAGGCUGGGCCUGUUUUAGAUCGACAUGUGGCAUUAUCGUAUUUUAUACGGAUCUGAAUUUUAAACAUAAAUUUUAGGCCGAUUGAUAUUUUUUUAUAUACAAACGAUAUGAUAUUUUAAUUUAAUCUAAAUUACAGAAAGAGAAAUUUGAAUUACAUGCAGCUCGGAAAGCAGAUCUGUUCGAAUCAACUUGACUAAGUUGUAUAAUAUUUUUUUUAGUAAAGUAUGCUACUCCAACUACUUUGGGCGGUCUUUAUAAUAGUAUAGUAGUGAUAUAUUUUGUUAUUAUAAGGACUAAAAGUAAAACUUGACAUUUUGUUUUUAUAAAAAGGACAGAUGGCUCCAACUUGUAUGGUGGUUUUUUUAAAGGAUUUUUAAUAGUUUUCCUAGUCCUUUGGAUAGUUGACAAUCUUUACUUGAUCAUGUGCUACGUACUUCAGAUUAUUUUGCUUGAAAUAAUUGAUCAAAUAAUGGAAAUUUUACGAACAAGUCAAUGUUGAUAUGAUAAUAUAUAUGGGGAUACAGUGCCCUUUAAAAAAGAGAUCUUUCAAAUAUUAUUUGAGGGACAUCUUUUAGGGCAUACUAUAAAUUUUUUUUCAACGAUCCGAAUAUUUAUUUUUUAAGUCUAUAUUCACAGAUCAUCCUUGCAAAAAAUUAAACAAAUUGAAAACCGUUUUGACAUCCAAUUGUGUUCUACAAAAUCAAUAAACACGGUACUUCAAGAAAAUACUAAAAUUUCAGUCAUUCAUGGUCAAAUGAUAUUAGAUUCAAGUUAUUUUUUAUAGAGAUGAUCUUUGAAUGGAUAUUUAUAAAAUAGAUGGUUUGGAUUAGUGAAAUACAAUGUAGAGUACGCCAUACAAACAGUGGCGAAGCCAAGAUUUUACAUGUGUGGGAGCCUCUCAUAAAUAUAAACAAUAAAAACUUCAAACUCAAGACAUACCAAAACAUCAAAAAUAAUAUUGUCUAUUCAUUACAAUUAUAAUUUUGACCAAAAAAAAAAGAUUCAUUACCAUUCAUAAUUGUCCUCGACAAGUUUUCAUAUUUUGACAACCACAUCAUCUAUAUUAUUAAAAAUAUUUUUCUCAAUAUAUGCAACCUAGUAAUCAUUCGUCUAUGAAUUAACCUAAUUUUAAAACUUGAUAAUAUAAUAUUGAGUUUGAGAGAAAAACUCACAAACAAUGAGAAACUUUGUUCCCGUCAAGAAAAUACAAAGGUAUCCUCGAGUAAAUUUAUUUAAAGGAUCCUCCAAUUAAAGCUCUUUAUAUAAGAAUAUUCUCAAGUGCGGACGUCCGAAUACAACUUAUUAUCCGGACUUAUUUUAUUUUUUUCCAUGAUGAGAAUGAAUUUAUUCAUUCAAUGAAAAGGAAGCCAUUUCCAUUUUGUUUUGUGUAACUCUCUUCUUUUCCAUAUUAUUAUCAUUAAAAAAAGACACUAAAGCAUAUAAACAGCCCCCAAGUUCUAUCUACAAGGCACCAAUGAAGAAAAGCCGAAUCUAAAGGUGUUGCUUGACUUUUUGGUAUUGCCGAGCCUGUUUUCUAUUGUACUAAGUGCUAGUUUGGCAUUGCUUAUUUGUGGUGUUAAGUGAUUUUUCAAAAAUUUGGGAAAGCACAGCCCGUUUGGUAAACUAUGAGAAAAUCACUUAUUGUUAAAAAUUGUUGUGAGAUAAAGCUAUAAGGGAAAGCAGCUAAUGAAGUGUUUUCAUUUUCUGAUUAUGCAGGAAUCAGUUUCAAAGAGGCACUGGGUUUAAGAUUUUGCGGCAAUCAUUUUCUGAUUAUGUGGGAAUUAGUACCAACAACACUUUUAACAAAAAGUUUACCAAACGCCAAACUGUUUUCUCUCACAGCUAAUUUCUCUCACAGCAAAUCUGACAACGAUUAUUUUCACAGCACAACAAUGCCAAACUGGCCCUAAUACUAGGAAAAGUGAGAAAAGUGUCUGAGUUGAUUUUAUUAGCAUAAAGAAUGCACACACAAAAGUUGUCCGUACAUUAGUAAAAUAAGGACAUUCGUAUUAGAGAACAAAGCUUCUAUUGAAGGAUUCUUCAAAUAAGUUUAUUUGACGGACACUUUUGUAAGACUCACUCCACAUUGUAUUUCGCUAAUUCAAACCAUCUAUUUUUCAGAUAAUUAUUCAAAUAUCAUCUCUGUAAAAAAAAUCACUUGAAUUCGAUAUCAUUUGACAACUCAAUUGAGUUAUUGAAAUUUUAGUACUUUCUUGAAGCAUCGUGUUUAUUGAUUUUGUAGGAUACAAUUGGAUGUCGAAACGGUUUUCGAUUUGUCUAAUUUUUGCAAGGAUGAUCUAUGAAUGUAAACUUAAAAAAUAGAUGAUUUGGAUCGUUAAAAAAAAUUUCGUAGAAGACUCUAAAAUGUGUUCCUCAAAUAUAUUUGAGAAAUCUCUCAAUAUAAAGAUAAUUUCUAUAUAGUAAGAUAUACUUCUAGUUAAACAGUUCGCAUAUAAUGCAUAGUGGGAACAUCAUACAUUUAACUAUUUUGAUACCAUACAUAUUUUUCGUUUGCAUGGGGUUGACUGUAACAUGCCUUGGAAGGUGACCCUUGGCCCUUGUAUAGAAUUUGUACAUUUUCUUUCACCAAUUCGGGUGAAUAAUUUGUGUAAUAAUACAGGGUCGACAUGCCAAUUGAUGCCAAUUGAUGUUAUCGUUAUAAAUAAUUAUUUUUCAUAAUACUAGCCUCUCUGCACGCGCUUCUGCGACUGCGAGAGGCUUUUUUUAAAAAAAUUUAAAUUUAUUUUAGAAUUAAAAAAGAUAAUUGAUAGUUGUGUUUCAUAAAAAUAGGAUCCAUUAUCUGAAUUUUCUUUUAAUUUUAAUUUUUUUAAUAUGAAAAAUUGUGAAUUUACCAUAUUAUCCUCAUUUAAUUAAUAAUUUUAAUUCUUAAUGUUUGCAUUAACCAAGGGCAUUUUCUGGUAUUUUGAAUGUUUCACCAUUCUCUGCCUUUUGCUUUAUAUAUAUAGAUUAAUCUUAAUUAGUGUAAAUCGCAACUAAUUGCGAAUUCACAUGAGCCAUUCAUACAAGAAUUACAAGUUACAACCUACCAAUACCACCACCUUGAUUGGAAGCAUAACAUUUUCUGCUUUCUUUUAUUUGGAAAAGGGGCCAGAAACACAAAAUGUGAAUGGUGUGAGCAGAAAUUGCCUGCCAAAAGAGAGCCAUUAGUACUCUCCCUGUCUAAAUAUUACAAAAAAGAAGUAGGUAACAUUGUAAUUGAGCUGUACGAAAAGACACAGGUGCACGACACACAAUGAACAGUCUGAAACAGCCCAAUGUAGAACAACGUAGCCGAAGGCCAAGCAGACGAACAGAGGAACAAGGUCCAGAAAAAGAAGAGACCUAACAGCUUCAAAGGGAAUCCCUGUACAUGCCCGAAGCCUAUCACUACCAGCACAAUUUUUUUCUGAUAGGAUGGACACUUGAAUUUGGCCUUCAACUUGGUUCAUGGUUCUAACUUCCAAUUAGUCCAUGGAGGACCUGAGACAUAAGGUUCGGUAUGAAAAAUUGGAACUACUAAUUCACAAGAUGGAUUUUCCCACAGUGGGGAUUUUACGAAUGGCAACUAGAAAUAAAACGUUGUUAAGUAAUUUCUGAGAUUAAUUAAAAUAUUAAAAUAUUAAUUAUUCACUAAAGAAAUAAUAAUUAAAAACUAAUUACUAAUUAAAGUAAUUAAACAUGACUAACAUAUUACUUAAUUACAAAUAUUAAACUAAACAAAUUAAUUUGUACAAAACUUUUUAACAAUUAAUUACUAUAUAUUGAGUAAUUUAAGAUAAAAUAUUUAAAUACUAAAUAAAAAUAAAAUAGGUAUAUUUGAAUAAAUAAAAAUAAAAAAUAAAAAAUCGAAUAUAUUUAAAUAGUAUAGCCGCGCGGCUAUACUAUUUAAAUAUUCGGAUAUAUUUAAGGAGUCUAGCCGGGCGGCCGUACUAUUUAAAUAUUUGAAUAUAUUCGGAGAGUUACUAUUUAAAUAUAUUAUAUUUACAGAGUAUCGCCGCGCGGCUAUACUGUUUAAAUAUUCGAAUAUAUUUAAAACGUAUAGCCGGACGGCUGUACUAUUUAAAUAUUUGAAUAUAUUUGGAGAGUUACUAUUUAAAUAUAUUAUAUUUACAGAGUAUAGCCGCGCGGCUAUACUAUUUAGCGACCUCUUAUCCUGUUAAUUUUAAAAUUAAAAAAAAAAACGCCGAAGUAUAGCCGCGCGGCCAUACUAUUUAUCGAAAAAAUAAUUACCAGAACCCAAGGGGUCAUAUGAAAUGUAGCUUCACCGAGGGGUUCUCCCUGAAAACAGGGUCUGAGCUCCAUUACACUUCAAAGAAGCGGAUGCAAUCAUCCCAAGUCAGAACAGCACAAUAUUCAAAUCAAAAUUGUAACAAGAAGAUUUUCAAAACAUAAAACGGUAGAUCAAGCAACGGACACAAAAACAUUUUAUUUGGAAGCAAAAUUGAAACAGCUCUCUCGAUCACGAAUUUUCUGAAGCAGAACUGGCAUAAAGCUGUAAAUUUAGUCAUCACUGCCAAAACAGAUAUGAAAAAUAUGCAAACUUUUCAACAACUCAAAACAUAAAUUAACAAAAAAAGCACAAAUCAUGGCUCAUAUCAAGAAAUUCAACCAUUGAUUAUCACAUUCUGCUUCAUAGAUUGCUCUCAGAAGCGUGGAUAAUUUGUAAUCAUCGCCAAAAUUCAAUCAAAAAUACUGAAUUUGGAGAUCUAAAGGGAACAAAUCUAGCGGACGUUGUUAGAGGCAAAACCAUCAAAACAGAUAAACCCCCACGUUGACACCGCAAUCGCUUUGCGCCUCCAUGACUAGCUCUGUUUUCGGAGAAUCUUCAAAAACAGGCUCAAGGUGUGUCGAGGCGUAGCAUACAGUACUGAAAUUCAUAAAAAGGGAUAAGCUUGGGGGAGAUAUAGCCGUCGAUUUGACACAGAAAAGCCGUGGGGAGCAAAACUAAACUGCAACACUUAACGGCGACGUUUUAGCACGAGCAUUGGGGCUUUCAUCUUCAGUGAGAACUCUCAGAGAAGCCCGGGGUGCAACGUGCGUGAUUCAGCAAGAUUUAAACAAAUAAAGGAAUGGAAUUUUGAUUAUCUGAAACAGAAUUGAACAACAAGUAAUAGAGGAGAUGGGAAAGGCUUCGAUGGAGACUGAAGAGUACUCCUUCGUGUUGUUUAUGUACUAUUUAUUAUAAAUAGAAAUAUAACUAUAACUAAAAAAAGGACCCCCGUAUAGCCGGACGGCUAUACUAUUUAUUACCAAAAACGCCGCACAGCUAUACUAUUAAUCUAAAAUAAAAAAUAAAAAAAACCAAAGUAAACAAUAAUUAAAACAUAACUGAUAAUUAAAGCGUAUAGCUGAUCGGCUAUAUUUUAAAAUAUUCCAUUUAUAAAGCACGAAAAUAUUCUUUUCAAAGGGUCUAGCCGCUCGGCUAUACUGUUACAAGUUUCUAUUUAUAGCGAAUACCCGCGUGGCUGUACAUUUAAAUAUUCUAUUUGUAGAAUAUAGCCGGGCGGCUAUACGCUUUAAAUAUAAAUAAAAAAAAAGAAAUCAUCUCCCGACAAUUUUUCGUCAGCACAGUUCGAUGCCGACAAAUAUUUGCCAAAUUAGACUUCUCUCAACAAAAGUUACCUCUGUCGAUGUAACAUCGUCGGGAGAGAUCUAAUUCGGAAAAUUGUCGCUGGAAUUUCGUCGGCAGGGGUUUUUUUUUAAGUGCUUACCAUGACAGUGCAGACAUUGCUAUCGACAUUGACUCUAUGACACCUAACUUUCUCCAGUAAUUGCUGCAUACACUCAACAGGAUGGAUCAGAUCACCUUCUGGAGUACCCCCAGAAAGCGAAUGCAUCCUCCACUUGCUGUAAAAAGAAGAAGAUUAGAAACUUUGGCCAAUUAUAGACUAAAUCAAAUACAUAAUGUAGAUUUUUAAGGAGGGAAGCUUGUAACAGAAGCUUCCUGAGUUCAUAAUAUCAUUGAGGAACUGCAUUUUGUCUACAAUCAUAACACACACAGUGAUGAAUAAACGAAAAAAGGAGUGAAUACUGCACAUAUAUCACAUAUUUCAAUUGUGCUUGACAAAAUUCAGGCUUUGAAACAAGAUAAAUGCAACUAAUCUCCAUAACUGUUAAGGAAAAACUAACAAGGCAAAACCUUUGAAGGUGAUACUUGCCCAUUUUUAGAGAGGAGAUGGUGGAAGAUAGAACAAUAGAGAGAAAAAAAAAUCAACCAUGUAGGGAUAAGUUAUUAGAAAGAUAGUAGCUUUUUCCUACUUUUUUUAUUUUUAUUUUUUUCUGGAUUUGUUAUGUAUAAUAUCAGACCACAUUCAGGAAUAUCAACUUGUAUAAUUCACAAACUUUAAGACACGACAAGAUGCUUAAAAGAUUUAAACACGAUUCAAUCAAAAUAGUCCAAAAGCAUAAAUGCAUUGCAAGCAACAUCAAAGGUAUAUAUAUGUUACCAGGUCCAGGAGCAUCUUCAAAAGUGCUUGUGUCCCAAUGUGAGCAAGCGCAUAUUUAAUCCGAUCAUGCCCUUGAAGAUCAUCCACACAUUCCCCUUGUUCAUAAGUUUCCACCAAAACAGCAGGAUGCACAAAUGGGCAGCUUCCCUUGCAACAUCAACUUGAGACAUGAUAAAAACUGUAAACUGCUGUACGCUCUCAUCCAAUCUCCACCACUUUAAAGUAGGAAUGAAGUUUGAAAUUUUUUCUACCAGAUUGAUUAUAACAAAAUCUCUCCUAAUCAAUUCACAAACUCCAGGAUGCCUAACCUUUACGGUAACUACUAUGGGCUUCACCUGUUGACCAGCUCCGUGCACUUGAGCAAUACUUCCAGAUGCUACUGGUUUGGUUUCUCUUCAAAAUUAUCAAAAAUAUCCGGGAGCUUGCGGCCAAAUGCUUGUUUGAUAGUUUUCUUCGUGUAGGCAAAGUUAUGUUCAGGAGCUACUGGUUUCGCUUCAAAAUUAUCAAAAAUCUGCGGGAGCUUGCGGCCAAAGGCUCGUUCGAUAGUUUUCUUCGUAUAGGCAAAGCUAUGUUCAGGAGCUUUGGUGUGAAGCUCUCAGAGCUUGGUGCCUAAAGAAAGAGCACCAACUAUGAACAAUUACGCGAAUUCCAGUGUUUCACCACAAAUUAAAGGCGAUUGAAUAUAAAAAAUCCACCUAGGCGGCCUAGGCGGGUUGGGCGUUUUUGUUUUUUUUGUUUUUUAGAUUUUUAUUUUCCAGGUUAAAGUUUAAUGCUUUUUAACCACCAGUGGUAGAUAAAAAAAAUAUUUCUUUAAAUGAUAUUCCUAGUUGAAAACAUUUAUUUUCUAUUUGGUGGCAAUUUCCAACAUGACCUCCCCCUACACGACUCAAAACCGCUCGAUUAAAUUUUGUAGAGUGUAGAGUGUCCAAACUCCCUCUUCCCCGUACGUUUUUCUUUGCCAUUCAGAUCCUCUCCUCUUUGAUAAAUACAGAAAAAGGAAGUUGGGAAAACAGGCAAUACAAAUGCCUAGCCAACGCUAAACAAAAUAUUCAAAGAUGCAGAUGAAAAAGCAAAAUAAUUAGCAGCACAGUCACUGACAUUUCAUAUAUGGUUAACAUUCAUACAUUGUUUUAGAAAAUAUGAACCACCUUAGCAAAGCACAAGUGUUGCCAUAUGCAAAAGUUAUCUCUUUAAACUCCUAACAAAUAUCCGACCGCAAGUUGCAGCCAUCAAAUAACGGUCAGAAUCAGCACAAUCUCAAAGAUAGGGAGUUGCGCUCUUCAAUUUACAGAACUCAUGUGAUUCAUGUCACAAUUUCAGCCGCUUUGGCUUUACAGGUUUUUUCUCGGCAGGCUUCUUCUCUUGAACAACUGGAGGUGAUGCCUCUGGUAUCGUUUCAAGGGCAGACUCAACAGGCUCUGCAUGCUUAGUGAGGAGUUCCAAACCUUUCAAAGACAUGAUCUCUUCCUGAAGGAAGGGACCUGACUUGGUAUCUGAAGCAUCAUCUGCUGGACAUGAUAUUACAAUAAUCAAACAUUUCACAUUAGCCAUUGCUAUUUACAAUCAAAAGAUACAUAUGAUUACAUCAGUGAAAUAAUUUUCAGGUAAAAGUUCUGAUUCCUCUGCCGUCACCCCAAACGGGCAACCCCAUAAUCAUAGAGAAAAGUGUCUUCAUUGUGAAUAUUUCAUUUUAAGUUAUGAGACCAAAAAGCAUGUGCUAACCUUUUGGUAUAUCAUAUGAAAAAUACGCAAUUACACUAGGAACAAAGCCAGCAGAGUAAAAAUCCUGUGACGUGUCUUUUAUCUGCUUCUUAGGAGGAGCAGCAUCUGCAUAAGUAAAUGUUAGAAUCUAUUGCAUGGAAAAUUCAAUAUUUUGAUUCAAUAUGUAGAAGGGUAAUUCUGGUCGAGCAACUACUUUCGUGAGGAGAUCAUCAACCAAGCUCUGAACUGUUUCUGAUGGAUGAAAAGUGGCCUCUAACAAAUAGAACCCUGAUCACAGUCAGCAUACAUGACACAUGACAAAUGAACUUAACAAAUAGAUAAAAAGCAAUUAUACGACUAAUUAAGAUAUCGAAUAGGCUAUGCAUCCGAUGAUGAUGGGGCAGAAUUGAUCCUAUACAAACAACAAUAGAAACAAUCACUACAACAAGGAGAAAAGAAAGUCGUAAUAAAGGGUACAGCAACCACCUUUGUUAUCCUUGACCUGCGGGCUGCCUGUUGUGCCUCUUCCACAGAUAAUCCAAAAUAUAAAAAGCUAUAAGCUGAACGGUUUGGCCUAGCAUAGUUGAAUUGCUUCAUACCAGUAAUACACACUUCAGUUUGCGAAGAAGAAGCAGCUAACGUUUCAAAAACACGAAUUUCUCACCACACUCAUAUGACAGAAUGAAUCGUGGUGAUUAGUAUAUACUAACACAGCUAUUACAAUGUGUACUUGUCAUUUUCUAAUUAGCUACAAUUAUAUUUUAAUUAUUAUUUAUUUAUUGAAUAAUUAGUAUUAAAUAUUUUAAUUAACUUCAUAAAUCAUAUCACUUAAUAAAUAGUAACUAAUUUUUAAAAUUUAUUUCUUUAAUAAAAUAUUUAAACACUAAUUAUUCACUAAGUAAACAAUAAUUAAAACAUAACUGAUAAUUAAAAUAAUUACAAAAGAGAAAUUCAGAUCAUGCUAUUUAAAGGGUAUAGCCGUGCGGCUAUACUUUUAAAUAUUCCAUUUAUAGGGUAUAGCCGCGCGGCUAUACUGUGAAAAUAUUCUUUUGAAAGUGUUUUUGAAGAAAAAUAAUGAAAAAAAAUUAUCGUAAAAAAAGAAAGAUCCAAGUAUAUAUUUAAAUGUAUGGCUACGCGGCUAUACGAUUUAUUAAAUUUUUUUUUUCAAAAAGGACGCCCGUAUAGCCGAACGGCUAUUCGCUUUAAAUAUAUUAUAUUUACACAGUAUAGCCGGGCGGCUAUACUAUUUAUUUAUUUUUAAAAGGACGUGCCUCGUUUUUUUUUUUUUUUUUUUUUUUUCGACGAGCUAUACUUCAAAUUUUGUAAAAAGGAGCCCAGGUAUAGCCGUACGCUAUACUCUUUAUUACCAAAACAAAAGGAGAAUUGGCCGCAAGCGGCUGUGGCGGCUUUUAGUUAUAAUAUUAUAGUCUGAGUAAACAGUAAUUAAUUAAUAUAUUGUCAUCUACUUUGGGAACAUUUAACAGCAAACGUCGUCAAACAAACUUGCUAGGAAGAAAAAAUAUAGUAAAAAGUAAUUAAUUAAUAUAUUUAAAUAUUAAUUAUUGACUACAGAAAUAAUAACUAAAAAUCAAUUACUGGUUAAAGUAAAUUAAAUAAGGCUAAAAUAUUACUGAAUUACAAAUAUUAAACUAAACAAACUAAUUUGUAUGAAAAUUUUUAAUAAUCAAUUACUAUAUAUUGAAUAAUUUAAGAAAUUAAUUAAAAUAUUUACAUACUAAUUAGUCACUAAAUAAAUAAUAUUUGAAAUAUAAUUAGUAAUUAAAUAAGGGCUAAGAUAUUUCUUAACUAAAAAAACUAAUUUUGUUUUAAAAAAUAAAAAUAAAAUAGGCAUAUUCGGAAUAUUUAAAUGGCUGCGGCUAUUAAAUAUUCGAAGGGUAGUAUAGCCGCGCGGCUAUACUCGUUGAUUUCUCGGAAUCCCAGGGAAAAACUAGGGAGAGUUUUGUUUUUUAGAGGAAACACCAGCUGCAACACUUUUUUUAGGGCAUGGAAAAUUUGAUUUUAAAUAGUUAUUACGUUACCCUACCAAAUUCUUCACAUUCAUAUUCAGGAGAAAUUCAAAUCGGAUUAAGUUUCAAAUGAUUUUCACCUAAAUCCAAAAGACUGUGAGCUUGAAAGCGAUUAGAUGUAGUGUUGUUGUUUAACUUCAUUCUCCACCAGAAACAACAAACAAAUACCCGCUACAAAUACAAAUAAAAAAUAAAUAUUCGAAUAAGUACAGCCGAGCGGCUAUACUUCUUAAAUUUAUUCGAAUAUUUAGAUAGUAGCGGGUGUUAAAUAUUCGUAAUAUUAGAAUAUAUUAGGACAGUACUCUUUAAAAUGGCAGCAAAUUAACAAACCAAACUAUAUUCUACGAAAAAUGGUAACUAAAGUAUUUCCCCUUGCGACUACCUAUAACUAAAAUACUUUUAUUUUGGUAGAAAUAUAUCCCCUUCUUUAGUGGUUAAAAAUAGUAAAUAGCAGCAGCAAAACUUUUUUUUGGGCAUGGAAAAUUUGACUUAAAAAUAGUUAUUAUGUUACCCAGUUGUUCACAUUCAUAUUCAGAAGAAAUUCAAAUCAGAUUCAGUUUAACAUGAUUUUCACCUAAAUCCAAAAGACUGUGAGCUUGAAAGCGAUUAGAUGUAGUGUUGUUGUUUAACUUCAUUCUCCACCAGUAACAAGAGAUGAAGCUGAUAGACAACACCAAAAUUUAUGAGUUUUUCAGACCCUAAACCUAAUCGAAUUAAGGACAAGGGUAUAGUUAAAACUCAAAAUCAAACAUAAAAGAAAGAAAAACAAACAUUAACAGUGUUUGAUUUAAAACACACAAACAAAGAACAUGUUGCUAGGGUCUAAUCUUAGCACCUAAUCUUAUCAUACAAAAACCAAACACACAAACGCUGGAUUCUGAUGCAAUAAUUAAGAUUAAAAACCUCAGUUAAAUCCAUUUAUGUCAUAUGAAAUGUAGCUUCACCGAGGGGUUCUCCCUGAAAACAGGGUCUCAGUUCCACUACACCUCAAACAAGUGGAUGCAAUCAUCCUAGGUCAGAACAACAAAAUAUUCAAAUCAAAACUGUAACAAGAAGAUUUUCAAAACAUAAAAUGGCAGAUCAGGCAACGGACACAAAAACAUUUGAUUUGGAUGCAAUAAGUUAGACCGAAACCUCAGCUAAAUCCAUUAAUGUCAUACGAAAUGUGGCUUCGCCGAGGGGUUCUCCCUGAAAACAGGGUCUCAGCUCCACCACACCUCAAACAAGCGGAUUGAAUCAUCAUAGGCCACAUGAACACAAACUUCAAAUCAUUAUAAAAAACACAAAAGAAAUCAAAUUUAUAAACUGAAGGCUCAGAGUAUGAAACAGCUCUCUCGAUCACGAAUUUUCUGAAGCAGAACUGGCAUAAAGCUGUAAAUUUAGUCAUCACUGCCAAAACAGAUAUGAAAAAUAUGCAAACUUUUCAACAACCCAAAACAUAAAUUAACAAAAAAAAAGCACAAAUCAUGGCUCAUAUCAAGAAAUUCAACCAUUGAUUAUCACAUUCUGCUUCAUAGAUUGCUCUCAGAAGCGCGGAUAAUUUGUAAUCAUCGCCAAAAUUCAAUCAAAAAUACUGAAUUUGGAGAUCUAAAGGGAACAAAUCUAGCGGACGUUUUUAGAGGCAAAACCAUCAAAACAGAUAAACCCCCACGUUGACACCGCAAUCGCUUUGCGCCUCCAUGACUAGCUCUGUUUUCGGAGAAUCUUCAAAAACAGGCUUAAGGUGUGUCGAGGCGUAACAUACAGUACUGAAAUUCAUAAAAAGGGCUAAGCUUGGGAGAGAUAUGGCCGUCGAUUUGACACAGAAAAGCCGUGGGGAGCAAAGCUAAACUGCAACACUUAACGGCGACGUUUUAGCACGAGCAUUGGGGCUUUCAUCUUCAGUGAGAACUCUCAGAGAAGCCCGGGGUGCAUCGUGCGUGAUUCAGCAAGAUUUAAACAAAUAAAAUAAAGGAAUUUUGAUUAUCUGAAACAGAAUUGAAGAACGAGCAAUAGAGGAAAUGGGAGGAGGCUAGGAAAGGCUUCGAUGGAGACUGAAGAGUAUGAAGAAGAAGCAGCGGUUCUAGUUGUUUAUAUAGGCAAUCUAAAGCCCUGCACAAACCCUAGGUCAUUUUCUUCUUACUCUUACUACGGUUGUAACGACGCCGUUUCUUCACGAUCUAGCCGUUCAGCAUGCUCAAUGUCCUUUUUGCCCACGACUGGUUUUGUAAUUUGAAAUGUCCUUUUUUUGUCGAGCAAUAAUAUGAUUUGGUAAAACUCAAGACCGAUUCCUCCUCCC
rnacentral:lncRNA from 1 species